UAGUAUGGUCACAUUAUUUAAUCUGUGGCUGCAAGUCUCCAUGUUGUCACUCCCUUUCUCUACCAAGUACAUCCUGCCUUUGGCACAAGAUAUCUUUCCGAUAUCAGAAUACUUAGGAAUACAUUUUAUAAGUUAUUAACUUACUCUUUCAGUACACACUUGAACCAUUUGGAGGAUGAACUAUAGCAAUUUAAAAAGUCUAGUUUUUGUUGGAUGGAGCAGUAGCUAAUCUUUGAGACCCAGUGAUAACAUUUUAGUAAUAGCACUUAACAAUCAGAAAAAAUAAGUAAAUCACCUAACUUUUCAUUUUCAGUUUUGUAUAAUUUUACAUUUGGUACUUGAUGACUUACUCUUGGCAUGCGAUAAGCUAGUAUAACGUAACAAACAUUUAAUGAUGGCCUACUGUGUUGUAGUCACUGUGCUAAUUUCUAGGGAUACAGCAUUGGAUAAAACUGGGGUUCUGCACUUACAGAGCUCAGAUAUGGAUGGAAUCACAAAAACAGAUACUGUAGUACAGUACAGUCACUGUAAUGUAGAGAAGUGGGAAGAAUGAUCAAAGAAAGCAUUAAGGGAAGAGAUCGUGUCUGAACUACAUGUUAAAGGAUCAGAGAAAGAGACAGAGAGGGAAAAACAGAGGUGAGGGAAAUGCGAAUGGGAGCAGAGGACCAACUAGGGGAGAACAAGAGCAAAGGCACAUUGGUAAGAAACAUCAUGAUGUAUUCUGGAAAUAUAAGCAUAUGUGUGUUGUAGGAGUAUAGAUAAGGGACAGAGAACAAUGCGGGGCGCGGGGGGGGGCACCUGGGUGGCUCAGUGUUGAAUGGUUGAGUGUCCAACUUCGGCUCAGGUCAUGAUCUCACGGUUCUUGGGCUUGAGCCCCAUAUUGGGCUCUGUGCUGACAGCUCAGAGCCUGGAGCCUGCUUCGGAUUCUGUGUGUGUGUCUCUCUCUGCCCCCCCCCCCCCCCCGCCACUCACGUUCUCUCUCUCCUUCAAAAAUAAGUAAACAUUAAAAAAAGAAUGAUGGAGGGGCGCCUGGGUGGCUCAGUCAGUUAAGCGUCCGACUUCAGCUCAGGUCACGAUCUCACGGUCCAUGGGUUCAAGCCCUGCGUCGGGCUCUGGGCUGAUGGCUCAGAGCCUGGAGCCUGCUUCCAAUUCUGUGUCUCCCUCUCUUUCUACCCCUCCCCCGUUCAUGCUCUGUCUCUCUCUGUCUCAAAAAUUAAUUAAUUAAUUAAUAAAAAAGUUUUAAAAAAAGUUAAAAAAAGAAUGAUGGAGAGGUAUGGAACCAGAUUAUGGAGGGAUUUUUAUGCCAUGUUUAGGAUCUUGAAUUUCUGUCUCUUUCUAGGCUUUGGGAAGCCAUUGAAGACUUUUAAGCAGGGACCUGAUUUGGUUGUAGUUAGGUUUAAUAGAAUACUUUGGUAGCUGUUGUGAAUGAUAAAGUUAAGGGGAAAAGAUUGGAGGCAGGGAAGACAUUUGUGAAAUAGUUGGCUAAACAGAGCUGAUGGGGGCUUAAAGUGGGCUGUGUUGAUAGAAAUGGAGAAAAGGGAACAGAUUUCGGACUCCUUUCAUUUGUUGUUGGUAAAUUGUAAAUUCAUUAGAACUUGGUACUUAGAAAUGGCCAAUGGGGGAGAAGUAGACAAGUUUAAGUCCAGAGUUCCUAGCUGAGGCAACUGCAUGGAUAAUGAUGAUACCAAACAAAGAGAGAAUACAUGAGUAAGAAUCAAUUUAGAAGGUAAGGAGAUUAGCAUAGGGUAUUUUGAGAUGGUAGUAAAAUAUCUAGUGUGGGAGGUCUAACAAGGCAAUUGACCUUUUGAAUCUGAUGCUGUGGGAUGUGACUGGGGACUCUGGGAUAGAAACCAUGGGACCAUAUAUAGGAGAGUAAAUGGGCUGAGAAGAAAAUAAAAGAAGGCAAAAGACAAGAUCUUGGGGAGCAUAAAGGUUUCAGAGUCAAUCAGAGAGAAAGAAGCCCUACAAAGGAAAGAAGGAGCUAACCAAAAACAGAUGAAAGAAUCAUUGAGCCAGCUUGUGGAUCUCAGCCAGCUGAGACUAGAAACUACACAGUUUUAAUGGAACAACUCAAUAUAGAUGUGAUUUGCUUAGACGCCGUCUAUAGCCUAAAUAAGUGAUGGAGAUCAGAAUGUAGUAUUAGUCUAAGACUGAGAUUUUACCAGGCUGGUACAGUGAAAAGUUAUGAGUUUAGGGAAAUUAAGGUGUUGAAUUUAGAGCAGUUUAGAUGAUAAGCUAUGACAAAUGUUGCAUAUUACGUGCUAUGUGCAUUAUUCUUUAUAAAUAUUAACUCAUUUAAUCCUUGCAACCAGCCUGGUAAAACCUCAGUCCUAGAAUGUAAGUUCCAUGAGGCCAGGAGGUUUAUUUUGUAGUCUGUCUGUAUUCUCAGUGCCUGUAAUACAGAAUGGGCUCAAAUGCUUGCUGAAUAAGCAUAAAGAACAUUAUUAUACAGAUAUGGAAACUGAGUAAGGAGAGGUUAAUUAAUUAAUGCUAUUUAGUGGCAGAGGUAGUAGGCAAGGACAUGAGUCUAGGAGAGGGAGCUGGUCAAAAACCUGAGGGAUUCUAGGACUGAAGCACUCUAUGGGGUAUAGUAGAAAUGAAGGCAGGGAGAUAUAGAAGAAGAGGAAGUCUUGUCAGAGAGUUCCAUGUUGGCGUUUACAGUUUGUUGAGUUGGAGAUUGUUCUGGGUGAUGACCAAGGGUCAGGUCUUAGGAAUAGAGUUGAGUAGAAGAUGUUCAUUGUUGAAGUUCUGUGGGUGUAUUUGUAGAUGUUGAAAGAUUCUAAGAAUACAAUAGAGUUUGGGUAGAAAGGAAGAUUAUGAUACAGUCUUUAAUAAAUAAAGAGGUGUUACAUGGGGAUGUGUAGAUGAGGAACAAUAGUGGAAUAGAUGAAUGUCAUUUGGAUAAUCUUAUUGGAAAACUUUGAAAGUACUCAGAAUAUAAAUACAAAUGUUUAAAAUUUUGCCUGGUAUUGCAGCCACACUUAAGAUUGAAUUCUCUGUGUUACAUUUGUCCUCUACAAAAAAAUCUUCCAGGCUUUUCUUAAUAGAGUAGUGGAGCUAAAUUUUUUAAUUCAUAGCAGCACGGCUUCACCGCUUUUUGUUUGGUAGCUGUUGAGUACACAUCCCAAAGAUGAUAAAAACAAAAUUCACUUGCUCUUCUAAAUCUUCUGCACUGCCCAGUGCAUUGUCAUUUGUUCCCAGUUCUCUUGCUGACCCUUUUACCCUCCCCCGCCCCCAAGUCUCUUUUUGAAUGCUUUUGUUUCUCUUGAGAGCUUUCUUUCUACAUUACGUUGUGGCAGAGAAAAAAGUAAAAUUUAUUUUAGCACUAAAUUAUGCUUAACAUUUUAAGUUGAACAUUUUCAGAAUGUUUGAAUCAACGUUUGAACAAUCAAUUCUGUUUCAUUUUAAAAAGAUUAUUCAAUCUCCUAUUUCAUUUACUUUAAAAGGCUCUAAUUUUUUUUCAUAUAUUCUGAUAGCAUUGUAAUUUCUGUCCUUGAGUAUUUUCCUUCAGAAAAACAUAAAAACCCAGUAUAUAACAGUGUGUUAAACCAAAAAUUUAAUUAUUUAUAUUAAAGCAUAGACUUGGAAUUAAAGAAUUUUUCAUUUUGCCAUUGUAUAGUUGUACCUGCUGAUCCUUUUGUGGGUAUAUGUAUGUGUCUUUCCCACAAAUAAGUAUCACCCUCUGAAUAGCUGUUAGGAAAUUCACAGUUAAUCAAAUAUCUUAUAAAGUAUGUUUCUACAAUGAAAAGGUUGGAAGAGAUGAUUUCCAAGGUGCCUUUUAGAGCGGCUAUACUAUGUUUUGUGGUUCUCCAUGCUUUGCCCACUUCAGAUCUUAGUAAGCAGCCACCGAAAUACUGCUACAUGACCUUUGACACAGAACCCAUGAAUGCAUCAAGUAUGAUUUCACUUUCACCUCCUUCUUUGUAAACCUAAAUGCUUGUCAAAUCAGAUGUGUGUUUAGAUCUUUUUGUUGAAUGUGUCUUGAGGAGGAGAACAAACUUGGGGUCAACCUGGCAUAAUCCCGUUUAUCUUUUUCUGUUAUAGAGAUUUGUUGGGGGCUGGGGUGACAGUCCUUUCUGAGGAGAAGGUGCGAAUGGAGGUGGACUUGCCGUCUUCAUACUUUCCCUGCAGCCUCACUGGGCCCUAUUGAUUUCCUAUUGAUUUUUAAUAAAAGCAGAUUAGGUGGGUUCCUGGUUGGUACUUCUGGUUCCCAUUUGAUCCAAGUACCCUGUUAUAGGCACAUUAACUGACAAAUUAAAUCAAGGCACUGUAUUUGGAAAUAUCUCACUUUUCCGUUAUCAGUAAAUAAGAGUAGAUUGUCUCAUAGUGGUUAAUAUCAUAAGAGGUUUUUCAUGUGUUCAAGUAUGUGUAUAGUAUGUAUUAAUUAUGCUUUUCUGUAUAAAUUUUGUCAACUCUAAAAUAGAAAAUGUAUACUUAAAUAUACUUAAGUAAAUAUUUAGUAUUAAGUUAGUAUUUCAGUUUUACAGUAAUGAAAAUUGAAAAUUUGCGGAUCUUAUUCUUUUUAACUUUCUCAGGUUCUGAUAAUCUGUUUGAAAAUUAAGAAAAUGCUUAAGUUCACAUGACUUUUAGUAGCAGAAGCUACUGAAUCUUACUGGCUAUAAUUGAUUAGGAGCCGUGAACAGUCAUUAAUUGUUAAAAUAUGAGAAGGUUGUAGGGAAUCAUAUGACAAAAGAACCAGUUACCUUUACAGUUUGUUCUCUGUACCUCAGGCACUUUGUUUCAGAAGAAAAGCUCCAUUCAGCGCCUGGCGUGAACAGACCCUUACCGCCUUUUAGAUGAGGAUUGUAGGAAAUUUCUUGCUAACUUGGACAUUUAGGCUUUUUCAGGGUUAUUUGGAACAUACUGAGCUGGAGUUAUGGAAUGGUUGAGAACUUAACUAAUUUUUUUUUGGUUGUUUUACUGAAUCAGUGCUUAGUGAUUAUAUGGUCUUUUAACAGAUUUAAUAAAGAAAUAUAGAAACUUAAUGAAAAGUAUUACAGGAGGUGAUGUCCAAUAAUUUUAAUAUUGUAGAACAUAGAAAAUCAAAGUAUUUAAAGAUCUGUCUAGACUUUACUCGAAGAUAGAAGAUUUUUCUACCAAAAGAAAGUGUUUGGAUAUUAAUAAUUUGGUGGGUGGAGAAGUGAGUUGUGGAGGUGGUUAAGCCAAGAUUAACCAGUAACAUGCUAAAUAUACAAAUCCACAAGCAUUUCACUAAAUGAUUUGGGCAUUUUUGUUGACUGGUCUUUUCAUUUACAGGGCUUUGAAGUCACUCCAUUUAUCUAUAAAUUCAUUUAGCUGAAGAUUAAAGCAGACAUUGUGAUAUAUGAAAACAGUUUUGGAGUUUCAGUUUAAAUUCUCAACUGGCAAUUGGCCGAAAACUCCCAUCAGAAGACGUGAGCAUCCAAAUGUCAUUUUGUGAUUUGGCUACUGUCUGCUUGAAUAGGAAGGCCCUAUCAAGAAAAACUAAUGGCGUGAUUAACUAUCAAAAGAAAAUCAAUGGAAAAUCUUUAACUUCCACCACAAGAAGAUUAAAAAGAGGUCCCUCCUGCACCAAGAAAGAUCUGCAGAUCUUUUUCAGUGUUCUUGGAGGUGUGGGGUGUGAGAACUUGAUCAGUUUGUGCAACCACCUUGUUCUCUAAAGAGUGGCCACGCCAGUUUGCAUGCCCACCAGCAGUGGAGCAAUUACAUGCCAAUAAAAUGACAAUCUGGAAGAAAUGGACAAAUUCCUAGAAACAUACUAACUACCAAAACUGAAACAGGAAGAAAUAAGAAAUUUGAACAGACCCAUAACCAGUAUAGAAAUCGAAUUAGUAAUGAAAAAUCUCCCAAAAAAUAAGAGAUGCAAAUAUUAUUAAUGCCAGAUGGUAUGUUAUCAGAGGACCUGUUUUAUAUUGGAAUUGAUGAAGCUGUCUUACUAUAGCUUACUUCAGACCCAGUGUCCUUAAGGAGUGGGUAGUUUUCUCUCUUUUAUGUUGCAUUUUGUACCUGGUGUGAGCUCAGUAGUUGUUGUGUACUUAUGAUUUCUUAAUUCCUAAGAUGAUUUAUACAGUAAUUACUUACAGCUUUUUUAGUGGUUCUUUUUAACCUGUUGUUGACCAAGACAUUACAUUUGAUCAUAAUUUCUCUCUCAUAUGGUUUGAUUGUAUUAUUGCUAAAAAGAUUUAAUAUAUUUGUAAAAUUGAUUUGUGUUUCUUAUGAGCUUCACUUAAACUAUUCAUUUGGUCUAGAGAUACUUUAUAAGUAAAAAAAUACGUGAAAUUUGGACAGUUUUAUUUCAAAUACCUUCUGAUACGUUUUGAAGACCUAUUAAGCCACUGGUUCUUUUUUUUUUUAAUAUGAAAUUUAUUGUCAAAUUGGUUUCCAUACAACACCCAGUCCUCAUCCCAACAGGUGCCCUCCUCAAUGCCCAUCACCCACUUUCCCCUCCCUCCCACUCCCCAUCAACCCUCAGUUUAUUCUCAGUUUUUAAGAGUCUCUUAAGCCGCUGGUUCUUAAGCUGAAUCAGAAUCAUGUAGAGGACUUGUUUAAACAAAGAUUGGUAGACCCUUUUCCCAUUGUUUCUGAUUUAGCAGGUCUGGGCAGGAGCCCCAGAAUUUCCAAGAAAUUUCUAACAAGUUCCCAGAUGGAGCUGAUGUUGUUAUUCCAGGGACCAUAAUUUGUGAACCACUACAUUUAAUAACUAGGUAGCUUUAUUUGACCCCUCCUCCAACCAAUUAAAAAUUAGUAGUGUUUGAAUUGCAUGCAUUAAAGGUAAUAUUGUGACUCUUUUUCACUGGGUUCUAGCAUAGAGGCAAAAAAUGACCUUGUUCCAGGCAGUUGGAACUAACUUCUAUUUAAACUCAGAAAUCCCUCCUUUCUUUAGAGAAGAAUUAUUUGUGUAAAAUUCGAUGACUUUCCCUCCUAUGUCUUGAAUUUAAAAAUAGAAAUAUGUGAGACAAAUAUGAAAAAAAUUUUCAAAAAUAAGAGACUUGAUACUACUAAUCUGCUAGCUAGACCUGACAAAAUAAGAGAAACAAAAUCUUAUAGAAUCUUGUUCACACUACUUCCUUUAAAAGAUAUCUGAUAUUGUGGGUAUGCAAGAUGGUUUAUUAAAUAUAUCACUUAUAUUUUAUAUUUAGCUUUUAUAAACUUUAUUUGAAUGUUUCAAAAAUACCUUAAAAGUAGGUAUUUUUUAACAUCUACAUAUAAAACAUGAUGUUAAUAAUAUGGUAAAACUGUCAUGUUUUUGCAGAAGCCUUAUUUUUUGAAAUAAUAACACCUUUUAAAAUAGAUGGAGAAAAUAUGAAAGGCACAUUGCUGCUGAAAAUUCAACAUAGUUUGUAAAUGGAUAAGCUGUGUAAGUGUUGACUAUGAACAGACCGGUCUAUAUUUAUUAAAUUUUUGCUUAAGUUAUAAAAGAUUCACUGUAUUAUCUUUCUGGACAUAUGAAAGUAAAUCAUACUCUUUUUAAGAUCAGGAACAAUAUGUUUGAAAUAAAUUAAUGUAUGAUUGCAAUUAUAUUUGAAGACUGUAUCUUAAAAUCAAUCAUUGCUUCUCUGAUUGCUAGAUAUCCUUUUCUACAACCUUUUUGUUUUUUACUCUUCCUAAAGUUUGUUUCAUUAUAGUGAUUCUCCUUCUUGUUUCAAAAAGAAUAAAUAAAUGAUUAUUUGUUAAUAAAAAAUUCAAGCUUCUGCCUAUCUGCCUUUGUACAUUUUUUACUUACCCAUGUAUAUACAGCACUUACCUGUACAAGCAAGUAUUCAUUUACUAAAAAGUUGCCCACUUUGUAGCCUUGAAGUCAUGUUCAAAAAUCUUCUAACUGAUGAUAGGGUAAAAGCCAAAUGCAUACCUCCUACUUGAGAGAAUUUUUUAUCUUAGUUAAAAAAAACACACACACAACAUAUUUGGUAUAUUUAAGUUUACUUCUCGCUUUCAUGUGUUAGUUUGCACUUUGCGUUUGUAUAAUUUCCUAGCAAGUUGAUCCUUUUGUGGGUUUAUUAUAUACUGUUCUUAUCCUAUAAGGACUAGGUUACAAUUAAAAUAAUUCAAAGACCACUGAGAGGUAUUGUGCUAAACUAAGGACCUUGCCUUUUAUCAUACUCAGAUGCGUCUCUCCUUUUAUUAUUUCAGUUUGAAGAUAGUGGCAUUAUCAGAGAGGGAAUGUGGUCUCUGCCAGUAAGCUGUGUAGUGGCUAAGAGGUGAAGGCAAAUGUGGCUGACUUUAGAGGAACUAAGUCUCCCAACAAAAGAGUGGGUGAGGGUGUGAAACAAAGUCAAGGCCACAGGGAAAAGAGCAGGAUAGCUUCAUUGGCAUGUGAUUUGGGUAGUCACACAGGACUUCAGUUUAAUGCUUUGCUAUUACCAUCUUUACAUUUUUAAUAAUUUGCAAACAGGGGUCCUCCCUACAUUUUCAUUUCUCACUGGAUCCAAAUGAUAUAACUGUGCAGACAAUAAAUGACAGAGGAGAAAAGGAAGCAGAGAUUUCUUCUGUCUCCUUGGUUCUUUAUUCCUUUUCCCAGUAUAGCCAGAGUGGGAAUUAUUUUUAAAGUAUGACUUAUAGACCAUGAAAUAUUGUGGAAUAUUAGCCUAAUUUGAAAGUGAUUUUGUAUGUAUGCACGUAUGUAUUCACUUACCAAAGGAUUAGGUAAGGGGAAAUAGGAGUUUAUUAAAAUUUUUUAUAAAAAUAUCAAAGAGGGGCACCUGGGUGGCUCAGUAGGUUAAGCAUCCAACUCAUGAUCUCAGCUCAAGUCUUGAUCUUAGGGUCAUGAGUUCAAGCCCCACAUUGGGCUCCACACUGGGCGUGAAGCCUACUUAAAAAAAAUAUGUGUGUGUGUGUGUGUGUGUGUGUGUGUGUGUGUGUACACAUACCUGCACACACCUACCUAAAAAAAAAUGUGUGUGUGUGUGUAUGUAUGUAUAUGUGUGUGCAGGUUUGUAUAUAUCCAAGAUAUAAUAUAACUUCUAAUAGAGACUUUAUCAAGUAAAUAUAUAGCAUAUAUAGUCGGAGACAUAAAAACAGUUGGAAGUACAGGAUUCUAUUCCUGAAUUAACCUACUACAUGUUUAUGCAAACCACAGUAGUGUUUUCUUCACCCAUAGAGCCUGAUGCUUUAUAUUCAGUAUAGUACUUUAUUAUUUGGUCAUUAUGCUUCCCUAAUAUUGUUAUUGUAUCUAACAUGGUAAUUGUUUCUUUACAAUAACUGUGAAGUUUAUUUUUAAAAAAUUUUGGAAAUUAAAAUUUAGAAAUUCAAAAUCCCAAACAGAUUUUAAGGAGUUUUUAAGGAGGCCUGUUGAUUUCUUUCUUUUAUUUAAUGGUUACAUAUACUCAUUUAUUGUUUCUAUCACACCAAGAUUCUUUUACCAGAUCUCCUCCUUGCUUAGGUACCUUAAUAUCAUUUGGUGCAUAACAAAGCUAAAACAAAGCCAAACUUUUUUUACAUUCUUUCACUUAAGAAAGAGUUCUUUUAUUCUAAUAAACUGUGAAAAAAAUGGUUGGGGGAAGGGAUUGCCUAAAUUUAAUUCUACUUCACAGAUCUCAUCCAAAAGUCAUUAUAUUUAAAUCACAUGAUCUAGAAUGAGACUCUACCCUUUUAGGAGUAAAACUGUGAAAAAGAUAGGAGUGUGGAGAUAUAACAACACCACUGGUUUCUUGGCUAAUUUAGUGAAAGUUUGUGCCCACUUUUAUAAAUUACCUAGCAAUAUAAUAGAGAUUGAACAUUUUAAAACUAGAGAAGGGGGGAAUACCAAAAUUUCCAUUAUAAGAUGACUACUGUGAAAUUUCUGCUUUAAAAUGGAAAAAUUAGUUUCUUUAAGACACUUUCUUAUAUAAAUUUAGGGAUUCCUUGUCCUCAGUCGGAAAUAUUUUAACCUCCUGUAUUUGUAAAGUAUUUCGGAAGAGAGCUAUCAGGAAGCACCAGGCUAAAGGUUUAAGCUGGAGUACCGUCAGCCUAGCAAGGGUAUUGAAACUCUUCUAUCUCCUGGAAGUAUAACAGAGAACGCCAAAGCCAGCUGACUUACCCUAUAGUUUCUCCUGUUGCAAGAGGACAUUUUUAGAGAGUCAUAUAGUUAAUAUUUUUUAAUAGCCAUAGAGUCUAAGUUAUGGAUAAGAAUGGUUUUUAUUUCAUAUUUUUAAGAGAGAUGCAAGCAUGCAAGGAGGGAAGGGGCAGAGAGAGAGAGGGAGAGAGAGAAUCCCAAGCAGGCUCCAUGUGCCCAGCACAGAUCCCUGAUGUGGGACUCCAUCUUACCAUCAUAAGAUCAUAACCUGAGUCAUAAUCAAGAGUCAGUCGAUUAACUGAGCCACAAGGAUGCCCCUAUUUCAUUUAUUUUUAUCCAGAAUUAUAACAUUGCAUGGAACAUAAACUAUAUUAGAAGCAUUAGUUCUGCAUCUAGUUUUGCAUGACAUUAUGUAAGGUAAUAACCAUAAAAAAAUGAAGUUAAAUAUAAUGUCUACUUAUCAGAAGCCUAAAAUAUACAAUGUCAACACAGCCCCUUAGAAGACAUGUAAGCAACUGAACAAAUAGCAUGAGGCAAAGAAUAUAUUGAUAACGUGGUAAAUGCUUUUUGGACUUAACAGAUAAUAAACCCUUGUUUCUUCUGAAAUAGUCUAGCAAAAAAAAAAUGCAUCUUUUUCUUUACCCUAAAAAAGCUUUACACAAGAGGUAGAAUUUUCUUUAUGUGGAUGAUGGGAGAAAUUACUUUUGACAAGCUGCAGUUUAAAAAAGGAAGGGAAUGUGUGGUGCCAGAUACAGAGUUAGGGAAGCCCUGACUUUAGGAAUCAGAGGCUAUAGUCUUGGGGUGGUGUAGAAAUAGAAAAACCUAUCGGGCAAAAGGACUGGGCAAAAGGACUGAACAUGUUUAUCCGAAGAAAGGAGAAAGGGACAAACAAGCAUGAGGAUAAAGCUGAUGCAGAGUGAAGCCGGUGUGCUCAGUUGUUCACUGAUAGGCAUUUCAGUGGGCUUUUUUCUAGAAUAAAGUUUGAAGGCGAAGAAAUCUGGUCUCUUAUUAAGGCUACCUAUAAAACUUCUGAUUCUAUUCUACUUCUGGUUCGUAUCUUUAAAAUUGAGAUUUGGUGGGGUGCCUCGGUGGUUCAGUCACUUAAGCCUUUGACUCUUGGUUUUGGUUCAGGUCAUAAUCUCACGGUUCAUGGGUUUGAGCCCCACCUAGGGCUCUGCACUGGCAGUGUGGAGCCUGCUUGGGAUUCUCUCUCUGUCCCCCUCCCCAGCUGGUUCAUUCACUCCUUCUUUCAAAGCAAAUAAAAUAAACUUUCAAAGUUUUUAAAGAAAAUUUAAAAAUUAAAAAAAAUAAAUGAGAUUUGGUUACAUUUUAAUUUUGUAGAUCGAACAUUUUCACAGUUUUAUGGCAAUUAAAAUAAACUUGAUGUUCAUAAACAUAAAAAGAUAAAAUAUCUUCUUCCCUGUGCCAGUGUGUAUUUCCAGCUGUCCCUAAAACAGUUCUUUCGGUUGUCUGCUGUUGCAUGAAAGCUGGUCCAUUGCCACAUGCUCACCUCCUGAAAUCUCCUGACAAAGCCCUACCCCCUCCCAAACUGCCUUUUGUGGCCGUCAUUUUUAUUUUCUCUUUUCUCUACCUUUCCAUCCUAGAUGUAAUUUUUUCAAGUGCAUAAUAUCUCUGUGUCUCAGUUUUUCGAGAUGUAACCUGAGGCUAAUAAAUUUUAUCACCACUUGCAAAAUUACAUGAGUCAAUAUUUGAAAGCACCCAGCGUAGUGCAUGGCACAUAACAGUUGAGCUUUAGUACAACAAAUGUUACUUGUUUUUCUCCUCUUCCCAACUGGUAAUAAUAACUCUACUGGAAGGGUAAUACAGUAAUUCAGGGAAAAAUUUUUCAUGAACUGUGGUGUUUGCCCAAACUUUGGUUUGUAUUUAUACAGUGCAUUAUGUAUAAAUUUGUUCUCAUUAGAUAGGGCUAUUGAGUGUUUCUACCUUAGUUGUUUUGUUGUCUUAAAAGGUUAAUUGGGGCAUAACCAAAUACAGCAUGGUCUUGCAAACAACUCAUAAAAUCAUAAUUAUUUUAAAAUAAGCUUGAAAAUUAGAGGGGUUGCCGUAUGAGACACAUUUUACGUAGUUCUCAGUUUAGUUAUGAAAUUACUUGCUUCUCAAACUAAGGCAACCUCUCUCAUUCCUUAUCUCUAUCAGUAACUAUGUGAUUUGAGAGGUUGUGAUUUAAUGUUUUCACAUUGCUACCUAUAAUAACUCAUUUUAGAUCAUCUAAUCAUGAUAUCCUUGACAUGUGUGGUGUUGUAUCAGACACUUCAUACUGUGUAUACCAGGCCUUUACCUGUCAUAACUACCUCCCUUCUGUGUUUCAAGACACCCCAGCAAAGUAAAAUUCAGUCCUCGCUUGAUAUAAAUAGUAGCAUUGUUGACUGGAUCUUUGGAUAUAUUAAAUAAGGAACACCACCAAAAGAAUGAUAGAAGCAUUGUUCAUACUUUGCGAUGCUUAACCGUUCUUGAAAGAUUGAAACUGAAACUUAACAUUGAGUGGAUGAACUUUAUUCAAACAAUAGUGUUGAGAAACAGGAAUCCUAGGUUUCACCCAAUCCAAGUGUUUAAUCAGUUAUAUAUUGUUUUUCAUUCAAAAUCAUUUUACUACCCGCUUUGUCUACCUCCAUGAUCCUUAUUUUACAAAGACCUUUGACCUGGUAGGCAUUGCUGAUAGUGAAAUGCAAUGUCCUGAAGUCUAUCUAUGUUUCCAAUAUAAUUAACUGUUCAAAAGGGUGAACAAGAUGUCUGUGAAAAAAAUAGUAUAGUCCUAUAAAAACAGAUUUGUUUUGAUUUUGCUCAUUUAAUUCUAGAAAUCUAAAUGUCAAAAAUUCUUAAGAACCACUGGCAUGAUACAUGUGUAUAAAACAAAUUACAUUUCUGAGAAGUAAUGCUAAUAAUGUUUCUAUACGUUGUAUAAGUUAAGCAAGGAUAACUUAAUAAUACUGACUGCUGUUGUUGCUGCUACUACUAAUCCUGGUAUAUCUGUACCACUGCUAGUAGAGACAAAGGACUCUCUCAUCAUCCCCCAGGGAGGGAGUAGUCAUUAUGGGUGGUAGCAUUACGUCUCUUUUAAAUAAUGUCUUCUUGUGUAUUGUUACUAUUUCUCCUGUACUUAAAACUUUUUUUUAAUUAAAAAAACGCAUCCUGUCUUUUUGGACUUGCUUGUAUCAUCAGUUAUUUUCCAUUUACAUAAUUCAUGUCUGACAUUAACAGAGCCGUUUACGAUUUACUCGGUACCUUGACAUACUUUGGCAAUUUUGUAAGUACAGUUUGAGUGAUUCUUAGUAUAGAAAGGUGAAAAGUACAUUUGAACGUAAAACCUGUAUUUGAGAUAUUUGUUGCCUUUUUUCCCUCCUGAAAGAUAAUUUAAAAACACAAUUGAUUGGUUAUUUUGUUGCAGAACCCUUUAUAAAUCAUUAUUAGCAAUAAAUGUUCAUUUCUCUUCAACUGUGAACAGUAACAAAAAAGUUAUUCAGAAUUAUUCAGUGUUUUAAGAGCCACCCAAGUUGACACUCAAAAAUUUAAGAGUGCUUCAGAAUAUGAGAUAUCUAAUUGUUAAUCAGCGCUGGAAUUAUUUCUACAAAUCUUAGAAGUAAAUGCUAAUGUCUUACUGGUUUUCUACUCUACCUAAUUGCUGGUAUAAAAAUGUGUUGAAAUGUUUGAAAUUAAAUCCUCCGCUAUAAUUUAUGUCCUAUGCAGAAGUGUGAUUAUCUGAGGAGUUUUUUUCCCCUCAGAUUUUAAAUAUGAAGUAUUGUUCACUGUUAACACAUAGUUAUAAAACAAAACGCAUAGUUAUAAAGACUACCUUGACUAAAUACUCUUGUUUUUGAUUGGCUGUAAUUUAAUAUUUAAUAUAUUUGGGGGAGGGGAGACAAAUUUAGUUUUUAAGUAUAUUUAUAAGUGAUGUCUUAAUAUCUAUCUUUUUGUGAUGUAGACUUCUAAGCUGAAAUUGGUAUAAUUAAAUAUGUUGAGCAUUUUGAUUUUUAUAUUUCACUACUAUAAUACAAAACGAAAUAACCUAUGCUAUCACAUGCAACCUAGCCACUAGCCUCCAUUGCCCAGCUACCACUGUCAGUCUGGGUUUCCCCUGCCAUGCAUGCACUAGUUGUCAACCCCCACAGCUGCACGUUUAAACACUCCGCUGUCACUGCCCCCACAUAAGUGCUUAGAGGCCACCACCACGUGUAUGCCCCCCUAUGGCUGCAUUCAGUUCCUGCCACCAACCUAGAUCCACUACUGAAUGCGUUCUGAGAGAUGACCCCCACAGGAGAACAACUGCACACAGCUGGCCUUGUCCUUACUGCCCAUGCAUGCCUGUAGCUAGCCCCCACCACCACACACAUACUCAGAACCAGCCUAAGGACACUCACCCUUGGACCUGGAGGCAUUGCUGAGGACCCCACCAGCCCUCUCAGCCACUGCUAAACCCCUCAGUUGUUGCUACCCAGGACCAUGCAGAGAAUGAUGUCAUGGACCCUAGUUGCUAUGCCACUGGGUCCCUCCUGACACCUGGAGCUGCUGUCCACUCCUGCACUUGGUGCUCCAUGAAUAACAAGACCUGGUGCAUCAGUGUACUUACACACACCCUUUAAAUGUCACCCACGCACCUCCCCUCAGCUCCACCCUACAGGUGAAGGUCAUUCCUUACGGAAGCCAGCUUCUAAAAUCUGGAAGACAUGACUACUUGUUCACAUGCACAGACAUCAGUGCAAGGAAACAGGGAACACCAAAAAUCAGGAAACCAUGGCACCAGCAAACAAACACAGUAAACUUCCAAUAACCUACACCCAAAUAAAUGGAAAUACAUAAAUUGCCUAAGAAAGAAUUCAAAAUAACUGUUCUAAAGAUGCUCUGCAAGCCACAAGUGAAAACAGAUAAGUAAACAGUUUACUGAAAUCAGGCAAAUAACACAAAAACAAAAAGAGAAGUUCGACAAGGUAAGUAUUAAAAAAAGAAAUUCUGGAGCUGAAACAUGCAAUGCCAGGACUGGAAAUACAAUGUAGAGUUUCAGCAACAGACUUGAUCAAGCAGAAGAAAGAAUGAAUUUAAAGACAGGUCAUUUUGAAUUGUCUAGUCAGAGGAAAAGAAAGAAUGAAAAAGAAUGAAAAAAAGCCUACAGAAUUUAUCAAACACUAUUAAAUGAAUCAGUAUUAUGGGAGACUUGGAAGGAGAAGAGACAGAGAAAGGUGAAGAGCUUAUUUAAAGAAAUAAUGACAGAACUUUCCAAAUCUGGGGAGGGAAAUAGAUAUCCAGACUCAUGGAGCCCAUAGGACCCCAAAUAGAUUGAACAUAAAGAGGUCUACACCAAGAAACACUAGACUUAAACUCAAAAGUCAAAGACAAAGGGAGACUUUUGAGAGGAGCAAGAAAAAGUGACCCGUCAAAUACAAGGGAGCCCCCAUAUGACUGUCAGUGGAUUUCUUUUUAUCAUUUUUUUUUAAUGUUUAUUUUUGAGAGAGACAAGAGUGUGACUGGGGGAGGGGCAGAGAGAGAGGGAGACACAGAAUCUGAAGCAGGCUCCAGGCUCUGAGCUGUCAGCACAGAGCUCGACAUAGGGCUUGAACCCCUGAACCGCGAGAUCAUGACCUGAGCCAAGGUCGGAUGCUUAGCCACCUGAGCCACCCAGGUGCCCCUCAAUGAAUUUCUUAAUAAAAGCCUUAGAGGCCAGGAAAGAGUGGGAUGUUAUAAUUCAAAGUACUAAAAGACAAAACUUCCAAUCAACGGUGUUGUACCCAGCAAAGUUUUAAAGUAAAGAGGAAAUAAAGUCUUUUCCAUACAAAUAAAAACUGAAGACAGUUUAUCACCCCUGGGCCUACUUUGCAAGAAAUCCUUAAGGGAGUUCUUCAGGGGGAAUUGGAACAUGCUAAUCAGCAAUAUUAAAAUGUAUUAAAGUAUAAGUUUCACUAGGAAAGGUAAAUAUAUAGGCAAAUGCAGAAUAACAUAACACUCCAAUGAUGGUGUGCAAAUUAUCUGUAACUAAUAUAAAAUUAAAAGUAUUAAGAAUAACUAAUGACAAAAGUUGAAUAACAGAUUCACAGUAUUAAAAGAAGUAAACUCUGACUUCAAGAACACAUAGUUUGUGAGGGGUAAAAUAAAGUUUUUGUAUGCAGUUGAACUUAAAUUGUUAUCAAAUUAAAAUAGAUAGUCAUAAAUAAAAGAACCUUAAAUGAACCUCAUGGUAACCACAAAGGAAAAACUUAUGGUAGGUGGGUAAAAGAGAAAGGAAUCAAAACAAAUCCCUACAGAAAAAAUUAUAAAAGAUGACAGAAGGAAGGGAAUGAAAGUAACUGCAAAACAGAAAAACAUUAACAAAAUGGAGAUAGUCAAGUCUUUAUCAAUAAUUAUUCGAAGUAUAAAUGAAUUAAAUUCCCCAAUGAAAAGAGAGUGACUGACUGAAUUUUUUUAAAAGAAAGAAAAAUUUAAAAACUAAAUCUAGUGAUAAGCUGACUACAAGGUACUCACUUUAGGUAUAAAAACACAUAGGCUGAAAGUAAAGGGACAGAAAAGGAUAUUCUAUGUAAACAGUAACCUAAAACACACCAGAGUUGGCAAUAUGUAUAUCAGACAAAACAGACUGUAAGUCAGAAAUUUUCACUAGAGGCAAAGAAGGUCAUUAAUGAUAAAGGGAAGGUAUAGCAGAUAGAUACACAUCCAACAUCCGAACCCCUAAAUAUAUAAAAACAGAUAUUGACAGAUCUGAAGGGAAAAAUUGAUAUGAAUAGAAUAAUAGUAGAGGACUUCAGUAUUGCAUGUUCAAUAAUGAAAGAAUAUCCAGGCAGAAAAUCAAUAAGGAACAACUGACUAAAACAACACUAUAGCCCAAAUGAAUCUAACAGACAUACACAAAACUUUCCACCAAAUAGUAGCAGAAUAUACAUUCUUCUCAAGUGCUCAAGGAACAUUCUCCAGGAUAGAUAACAUGUUAGGUACAAAACACAUCUUAACAAAUUAAAGAAAAAUGAAAUCAUAUCUUCUCAGACACACAGUGGAAUGAAUCUAGAAGUCAGUAACAAAAAAUAGAAAAAUUCACAAUUAGAAACUGAACAUACUCUUGAAUAACCAUUGAGUGAAAGAAAAAAUAUAAAGGGAAUUUUAAAGCUAACUUGAGACAAAAAAAGAAAGUGAAAAUACAAUUUAACAAAACCUGGGAUGCAACAAAAGUAAUACUAAGAGGGAAGUUUAUAGCAAAAAAUGCCCACGAUUAAAAAAGAAGAAAGAUCCCAAACAACCUAUCAUUACAUACAACUCAAGGAACUAAGGAAAAAACUGCACCCAAAAUUAGCAAAGGAAUGAAAUAAAUAUUAGAGCAGAAAUAGAGAAUAGAAAAACACUACAAUUUCAGCAAAACUGGGGCGCCUGGGUUACUCAGUAGGUUGAACAUCCAACACUUGAUUUCAGCUCAGGUCAUGAUCCCAGGAUCCUAGAAUUGAGUCUGCUUUGGGCUCUGCCCUGAGCUGGAGCCUGCUUAAGACUCUCUCUCUCUCUGCCCCUUUCCCCAAAUCGUGCUCACUCUCUCCUGAAAAAAGAAUCAACAAAACUAAGAAUUGGUUUUUUGAAAAGAUAAAGUUGACACACCUUUCGUUUAGGAGAGAGAAGACUCAAACUCAAAAGUGAAAGAGGAGACAUUACAGCAAAUGACACAGAAACAGAAAGGAUCAUAAGAGCCCAUUAAGACAAUUACAUGACAACCUAGAAUAAAUCAAUAAAUUCCUAAAGACUACAGCCUACCAAGACUGAAUCAAGAAGAAAUGGAAAGUCUGCCUAGACCUAUAACAAAGAGAUUAAAUAAGUAAUAAAAAACCUUUCCACAAACACAUUCCCAGGACCAGAUGGCUUCAUUGGAGGAAUUCUAACAGACAUUCAAAGAUGAACUAAUAUCAAUCCUUCUUCAGCUCUUCCAAAAAAAUAAAGUAGAUGGAAUACUUUUAAACUCAUUUUGAGAGUAACUUUACCCUUAUUCCAAAGCCAAAGACAACACAAGAAAAGAAAACAGGUUAAUAUCUCUGAUGAACAUAGAUGCAAAAAUCCUCAAUAAAAUACUAGUAGCAACCUGUUAAAAGGAUCAUACAGCAUAACCAAGUGGGAUUUACCCUUAGGAUGCAAGGAUGAUUCAACCUAUGAAAAUCAAUCAGUGUAGUACGCUACAUUAAUAGAAUGGAAGUCAGAAAAACCACGUGAUAAUCUCAAUAGAUGUAGAAAAAGCAUUCAUAUCUUUUUUAUAAAUGUCUCAACAAAAUAGACACAAAAGGAACAUACUUAAAUACGAUAAAGACCACAUAUGAGAACUACACAUCUGACAUCAUAAUCAGAAAAAAUUGGGAAGCUUUUUACUCUAAGAUUCAGAAGAAGGUAAGGAUGCCCUCUCUCACCACAACCAGCAACAUAGUGUUAAAAAUCCUAUGGGAAUGCACACUGGAACAAUCACUAUGGAAAACUAUGGAGGUUUCUCAAAGAAUUAGAAUUAGGGCAGUUUAAUGGCCCAGCAAUCCCACUUCUGGGUAUAUAUCCAAAGGAAAUAAAGUAAGGACUUUCAAGAGAUAUCAUACUCCCGUGGUCAGCACUAUUCACAAUAGCCAAAAUACGGAAACAACCUGAGCACCCAUCAAUGGAUAAAUAAAGAAGAUGUGAUAUGCGUGUGCAUGCAUGCACGCACACACACAUGUGCACACAGUUGAAUAUUAUUCAGCCAUAAAAGAGAAUGAAAUUCUGCCAUUUAUGAUAACAUGGAUGGACCUUGAAAGCAUUAUGUCAAGUGAAAUGAGUCAGAAGAAGAAAAAUACUGUAUGAUUUCACUUAUACAUGGAAUCUAAAAAAUUAGAACUCAUAGAAACAGUCAGUGGAAAAGUGGUUAGCAGGAGCUGAGGGAUGGGGGAAAUGGGCAGAUAUUGGUCAGAAGGUACAAACCUCCAGUUAUAUGAUUAAGUUCUGGGGAGCUAAGAGACAGCAUGGUGACUAUAGUUAACGAUACGGCAUUAUAUAAAGUUGCUAUGAGAGUAAAUCUUAAAUACCAUCCCCACAAAAAAGAAAUGGUGAUUUUGUGAGUUGCUAGAAAUGUUAACUAUACUGUGGUAAUCAUUUUGCAGUAUACAAGUGUAUCAAAUCCAGCACGCUGUGUACCUUAAACUUCCACAAUGGCAUAUGUAAAUUUUAUCUUAAUAAACCUGAAAUUUAAAAAAUCCUAACCGCAUACAUUAAAAUUUUUUUUAGAAAAAAAUUAGCGGUGCCUUGGUGGCUCAUUUGGUUAAGCGUCGUACUUCGGCUCAUGUCAGGAUCUCACAGCUUGUGAAUUUGAGCCCCGCGUCAGGCUGUGUGUUGACAGCUUAGAUCCUGGAACCUACUUAGGAUUCUGUCUGUCUGUCUGUCUCUCUCUCUCUGCGUCUCUCUCUCUCUCUCUCUCUCUCUCUCUCUCUCUGUCUACCUGUCUCUCAAAAAUAAACACUAAAAAAAAAAAAAACCCUAGCCAGCAUAAUCAAGCAAGGAAGAGAAAUAAAAGGCAUUCAAAUAAGAAGGGAAGAAGUAAAAUUAUUUCUCUUUGCAGAUGAAAUGAUUUAGAAAACACUAAAGACCACACACGCACACGCACACACACACACACACACACACACACACACACACAAAGAAAGCCACUAGAACUAAUUUAGCUAAGUUUCAGGAUGUAAAAUCAACAUACAAAAGUCAAUUGCAUUUCUAUACACUAACAAGGAAUUACCUGAAAAAGAAAUUAUGAAAACAAUCCCAUCCACAUAAGCUGGGCGAAGAAUAACAUACUUAGUAAUUAACCAAAGAGACAAAGACUUGUACAUUGAAAAUUAUAAAGCAUUGAUGAAGGAAAUUAAAAGACAACAACAAAUGGAAAUACAUCCUACAUUCAUGGAUUGGAAAAAUUAAUAUUGUUAACGUUCAUGCUACCCAAGUUGGUCAAUAAAUUCAAUCCAUAUCAAAAUUCCAAAGACAUUUUUUAUGGAAACAAAAAACAAUCCUAAAAUUUGAAUGGAACCAUGACCCCAAAUAUUCAAAUGAAUCUUGAGCAAGGAAAACAAAGCUAGUGUCAUCACAAUUCCUGAUUUCAAAUGACAUUACAAAGUUAUAGUAAUCAGUACUGGCAUUAAAACAGAUAUACAGACCAGUGGAAUGGAGAAAGAAAGAAACCUGUGCAGUUAUAGUCAAUUUAUCUUUGACAAGGGUCCCUGUAACACACAAUGGGAAAUGACAAUCUCUUCAACAAAUGGGUGUUGGCAAAACUGGAUAUCCCCCUGCAAAAGAAUUAAAUUGGUCCUUAUCUUACAUCAUCCACAAAAAUCAACUCAAAAUGGAUUAAAACUUAAGCAUAAGCUAUCACAAGAUUUCAGAAGAGAACAUAGGGGAAAUACUUCUUUACAUUGGUUUUAGCAAUAAUUUUCUGGAAAUGACAGCAAAAGCAUAGGCAACAAAAGCCAAAAAAAAAUAGAUAAAUGGAAUUACAUCAAACUAAAAAUCUUCUGCACAGCAAAGGGAAAUAAUCAACAGAGUAAAAAGGCAUCCUACAAAUGGGAAAAAUGGUCACAAACUACAUAUCCAAUAAGAGGUUAAUAUCUAAAAUACGUAAGGAAUUCAUACAACUUAAUAGCAAAAUACCAAUAACCCACUUUGAAAUGGUCCAAAGAACUUAAUAGUCACUUCUCAAAAGAAAUUCAAAAGGCUAAAAAGUAUACAAAAAGGUGCUCAUCAUCUCUAAUCAUCAGGGAAAUGCAAAUCAAAACCAAGUAAUUUCACAUCACACCUGUCACAAUGACUAAUAUCAAAAAGAUGAGAAAUAACAAGUAUUGGCAAGGAUGUGAAGAAAAGAGAAUCCUUGUACAAUGUUGGUUGGGAAUGUAAUUUAGUAUACCCACUAUGAAAUAUAGUAUGGAGAUUGCUCAAAAAAUUAAAAAUAGAACUACUCUAUGAUCUAGUAAUCCCACUUCUGAGUAUGUAACAAAAGAAAUAGAAUCAGGAUCUCAAAGAGAUCUCAUGCACCCCCAAGUUUGGUGCAGCAUUAUUCACAGUGGUCAAGAUAUGGAAACAACCUAAAUGUCCUUCAAUGCCCGAAUGGAUAAAGGAAACACAUACACGCGCGCACACACACACAGAAACACAGUGGAAUAUUCAAGCAUAAAAAUAAGGAGAUAUUGCUACUUGGAACAGUAUGGAUGGAGCUGGAGGAUAUUAUGCUAAGUGAAAUAAGCAGAACACAGAAAGAGAAAUACUGCAUGAUCUCACUUCUGUGAGGAAUCUAAAAUAGGCAAACUUAACAGAAGUAGAGAGGGGGUGCCUGGGUGGCUCAGUCAGUUAAGCAUCUGACUUUGGCUCAGGUCAUUAUCUCACAGUUUGUGGGUUUGAGCCCUGCAUCAGGCGCUGUGCUGACAGCUCAGAGCCUGGAGCCUGCUUGGGAUUCUGUGUCUCCCUCGCUCUCUGCCCCACCCCCCACGCCCCACCCCCCACCCCCCACGCCCCACCCCUGCUCAUGCUCGCUUGCUGUCUCUCAAAAAUAAAUAAACAUCAAAAAAGUUUUUUAAGAAAAGUAGAGAGUAGAAUGAUUUGCAAAGGGCUGGGGGAAUCAGGGAAAUGGGGUGAUGUUGGUCAAAGGAUACAAAGUUUUAGUUAUGCAAAACAAAUACAUUCCAGAGAUGUAACCUACAGAAUGGUGAUGAUAGUUUUAUUGUAUUGUAUACCUGAAAUUUGCAAAGAGGAUAUAUCUUAAAUCUUCCCACGUACAAAAUGGUAACUAUAUAGAGGUGAUGAUAUGUUAAUUAGCUUGAUUAUGGUGCUCUUCUCACAAUGUAUACAUAUAUAAAAGCGUCAAGUUGAAAAAAAUAAGUAUGUAUAAUUUCAUAUGUCAAGGAUAUCUCAGAAGAGCUGUUAAAAAUAAAAAAAAUUCGGGAAAAAUAUUUUUUAUUUAAGAAAUCAAAUUUUAAGUUCUUAGCUUUUAUAUGAUGGUGUGGUAAUAUGUUUUUCCUAGUCUUGUCAUAAGCUUGCAGCUAUCUACAUGAUGGUAAUGCACCAGAUUGAUUAAAAUGGAAAACAAGAAAUUGAAAAGACUGAAUUUGAAUCCUCAGUGAACUCUUUAGUCAUUUUUCCUCUAAGAUAUUGAAAUAAAUUUUAAAAUAUGUUACUUGACUCAGGAUUCGAAGCACCUUGUAAACUAGGAGAUAUUACAGGUGGACCUAAGUCUUAUUUUUAGGGCACCAGAGAGAAAUACAGAAGUACAUAGAAAGAAUGAAUCCAGUGCGUGUUUUAUAGUUAAUCUGAGGACUCAACAAUUUGGGUACGUAUUUGCCAAAUAAAAUGAUCUAUGAAGCAAACAUUUUCUUGAUUGUAUCAUAACAGCCUGAAAGUUUAUAUUUGUGGCAUUACUCUGAUUAAUGAAAUCAGUUCCAGUGCAAACAUUUGGGCUGUUAGAUUUACAAAACCAUUAUUUGUCCAAUUCUGCAGCUGCUACCCUAGUUCUGGCUCUCAUCUUUUUACACCUGGUUUACUGUAUCUUCCAUGCUGGAAUUCAUGCCGCAGUCUUGCCCUGCUCAAAUUUAUUCAAGCAAUGCCUUUGUGUUUUCCAGUUCCAGUUAGGAGUUUUAAUAAUCCCUGACUGGUUACCAAAUCAAAAGUAAACUCAACCUAGAAUUUAAAGUUUUCCAAAUCCUACUGACUCUUGCUCUUCAACACCGUUUCUUCAUGGUAACAUUUAUCUUCUCAGCAUGGUAUCCCACUUCUUGUUUUGCUAUUGCAUCUUUCCUCUUUAAGGAUAUACUCCUCCCUUACAAUGAAAAAAACCCAAAGUACCUUCUUAGGUUUGAGUUUUAGGCUGUUUUAGACAUCUAAUGUGGAUCAUCUUAUAUUCUGGAUCUUGAAAACAUCAUCAGGAAUAUGAGUAUUCUAGUUAAUUAGUGGCUUAUCAUAUUAUUCAUAAGUUUACAAUGCUAAACACUCUUUAUUCAGUCAAAUUCACAUUAUAAGAAAAUACAGUGCAAUGUAUUUAAUGCUUCAUUGAUGAUAUAGUAGGCAUUUCACUUAGAAAUGUUGAUGUGUAGGACUGCUGGUUAGUAAAAAUGUCUAGUUUUUACUGUCUUUUAUACUUGCUGUUGCUUAUUUAUUUGAAGGUAUUGUAAAUAUUUUAACAUGUUUUAUAUUUUUAAUCGGCAGUAAGUAUCUCUAUUCCCCACUCUGAACACGUAACAUUAUACUUUGUACAUAAUAGAUUUUCCUAAAAUACUUGAUUCAUUCUGUCAGAAAAUAUUUGUUGAAAAUCUACUAUAUGCCAGGAGAUAGGACUUUAGGACUAUCACCAUGGAAAGACAGUCUGUGCUCUUAAGAGACAGACAAGUAGACAGACAUCCCUAAUCUAGUGUAAAUUCUCUAAUAGAAGUAAAUACACAGUUGCAUGUUGUACCUUUUCAGUUUGGAGAGUGUGGAGCAAACUUUUCCAGUGUCAGUACCGAGGAGGGAAUUAGGAAAUUUAAGUCCCCCAAACUACACCAGGUGAAAUUUGUCACCCAAGUAGUAAUGUGUUUUUGUUAUGCAAAUAUAGCUGUAAGGCAAAUCUCCAGUUUUCUUCCCCUCCAGAGUGCCUCCACUAAAUCUUCCCAUAUAAAAAUUCUGGAGCCCCCUCUGAGAUGAAGGAAUAGCUAAGUUGGGUAAGUAGAAGUCCUCCUGAAGGAGACAAGGGUAAAGCGUAUUCCUGGAAUGGGAAUAUAAACCAAGGCCCAGUGGUGAAAAGAGAGCAAGGCAGUUGGGGGGAGUAGUUCUCCAAGGCCAGAGUGUAGAUUUGGUUGGAGGAGUUGGUGAAGGGGAAAUGGUCACUGAUGAGCUGCAUAAGUAGGCAGGAGUCAGGUUGUGAAGGGUUUUAAGGCAGUGUGAAGAAGUGGGAUUCUUAUCAUGAGAGCAGUGGGGAAAUCGCUGAAAGGUUUUAAAAGCAAAUGAAAAAUGACAUGAUCUAUUUAAUUUUCAGAGUUGUGUUAAGCCCAAUUAGGUUCUUUAGUUUGCAUGCUUUUAUUAAUCAGAUUUUUUUAAAUGUUAUUCUAUACUUUCUCUCUAAAAAUACUCUUUAUAAAAAGCAUUUGGAUUCCUUAAAUCAGUGAUUUUAAAACUUUUGUUUUCCUAGCAGUGGAAUUCUUAAGGAUUUUAAAAUUCUACACAGUUGGUCAGUAUUAAAAAAUAAUAAAAGGAGAAGCACUUUGCUUUUAAUUCUGGUACUGUUUAAUGUUUACUUUGUUGUUUUUUAUGGUGAGGAAAUGGAGUCGUAGGGAUGAUAGUUGUCAUGGCUGCUUGCCUGUAUACUCCACUGAGGUUAGGGCUUGUAUUCUAGAGUGACAUUAUUACUAGGUAGGGCUCCGUAGUUCUAACUGAUGGUAGCAGCAGCUUUCAUAAUUCAUAGUUGGUGGUCUCCUAGGCCUUUACUUUUAUUUAUUCAACAAAUAUGUAUGAAGUAUCUCUAGUACUAGUGAUAUUUCUUUGAGCAAAACAGACACAACUCCUGACCUCAUGGUGCUUUAGUAUAAUGGAGGAGAUGGAUCUUAAGUAAUGCUACAAUGUAAUUACACCUGAUAUAAUAAAUGCUGUGUAGAAGGGGUGAUUUAUAUUAGGAGAUCAUUGAAAAAGUUAUAUUUAGAGAUUUAAGCUGGAAUCUGAGGAGGUAGGCAAAGACAGAAUGUUCUAGGCUGGGGUUAUAAAAUGCAUGAAUUCUCUGAGGUGGUAAGGUGAGUGACAAGGGGUAAAGCUGGAGAGGGAGGCAGAGGCCAGAUUAUGGAAAGACAAGUUAAGGACUUUGACUUUUAUCCUCAGUCUAAUGAGAAACCAUCAAAAGAUUUUCACCGGGUAAUGAAAUUAGAUGAUUUGUCUUAAGAAUAUUACUCUGGCUGAGGUGGAGAAAUGGGCUAAGAAGAGCUAGAAUGGAUACAGAGACAUCAGUUAAGAAACUAUUACAGGAGUCUUAUUCUAGAGUCUGGCACACAGGCUAUCAGUAGAUAUUUGUGGAUUCGCUGGAGGACAACUAUAUCACUGCCUCUGUUAUGACAUCUCAAAUCAUCCAUACUCUAACAGAGUUAAAUUGAAUAUUUUCAAGAAAUCACAGAGUAGUGCCCAUUUGUGCUAAUGUUUUCUCAAAAAUUUCAUAUUUUUAAAUUACUUUUUCACAUUGACCAAUGUGAAAUUCAUGUAUUCAACAAAUAUCGAGUGCUUAGAAUAUGCUAGAUAUUAGCUGAGGGGCUGAGGACAUAGAAUCAAUGAAUAAGAUAGGCAUGAUAUGAUAUCUGCCAUCAAGUGGCUUCUAGUCUGGUUAAUCAGAUCUAAGCAAAGCAAGCAAUAUAUUGACCUAAUCCUGUGGCAUGGAAUUUGUCCAUUUAUCUCAACCUCAGGACCAGGAAUGUCCUAGAUGAACCAUGUGACCCUUUCAUCAAUUAAACUACAUCUUCCCCUUACCCCCUCUUGCUUCUAAUUUAUACAACUAGGUUUCUACUUUAUCUUUGCUGCAAAUUCAGCCCCUCAUAAAUCCUAACACAUACGUCAGGGACCUGACAACCUAAAGAUUGAAUCCCAGUUCUCCUUUAGUCUUACAAAAGCUGGGACCUUGCUUAAUGGAUUACUCUUCUAUUGCUGCAUAACAGAUCACCACAAAUCUAGUGGUUUAAAGGACACAUAUUUAUUAUCUCACAUUUUCUGUGGAUCAGGAGUCCAGGCAUAGCUUGGGCUAGCUGUGGACCAGCAUAGCUCCACUCAAUGCUGCAAUCAAAGCAUCAGGCAGACUGCGUUGUCAUAUGUGGCUCAGUCUCCUCUUCUAAGCUCAUUUAGUUUACUGACAGAAUUCAUUUCCUUAUGCUCGUAGGAAGGCUGCCCCUCUCUACAGGCAGUUCACAACAUGGCUCUUUGCUUCUUCAAGAACAGCAGAAAAGAGAGAACCUCUGCUACUUGGAGUCUCUGAGCUCAGGGAGGCCUUAGGGUUCUUUUAGUUUUUGGCUGAUUAAGCCAAGCCAACUCAGGAAAUCUUUCUUGACAAACACAGAGUCAACUGAUUAGAGACUGGCAGUACAGCUGCAAAGUCCCUUCACAUUUGUCAUAUAACCUAACAUUAUAAUGGGAGUGGUAGCCCAUCAUAUUCACGGGUCCUCACGCAUACCCAAGAGGAGGGAAUUAUUCUGCCUGUCUCAUCGCCUCUUUUUAAAAUCUCCUACAUCUCUUGGCUUCCAGCAAGGUAUCCUCUUCUUAGGCUCUCCAUGUCUUUGAUGGUUUCUUUUCCUCUCUGUCUCCAUUUCAUAAAUGUUGAGGUUCCCCAGAACAUCCCAUUAACCAUCCAAUAUGUUUCUUGACCCUAUUAUCUAUUGUUUCCCACUGGCUGAGGGCCAGAUUCCUACUAAGAAUAAAUCUAAGAGCAGAUUAUUUUUUUCUCCGGUCAGUGGCAGAAGCACAGAUUAAUCAUGUAACGAAUAAAAUAAAAGCAAUCUGUUAUUCUGCCAUCAUUCUGGCAUCCAUUUGGGGAGAAAGGGGAAGUUCCUAGUUUAAGGGAACAUGAUUGGUAUCAGUGCCAUCUACUCAAGUUAUUCAUGGUUGGUGAAAAAACCCCUGAAGAUGAUUGGGAAAACUUCACCAUAUCAGGAGAUAGGCAGUUGUGUCAGCUGAUUCUAGAAGGUGUAGCUGCAGUAGCAUUGGGGAGUACUGUCUUGUUAUGCCAGGGUACCUUAGAAGAAUAUGGGUAUGUUAUGACAUUCAUUGAGAGGGACUAAAUAUGAAUAAGUUGGGCAAUAGCGUGUUAUUAACCUAUCAGUUAUUUCAAAGUAUAUUGCUAAAAGCAAAUACAUCCUUUGACAUUAGCCACAGUAACAUUUUUCUAGAUAUGUCUCCUCUGGUAAGGGAAACAACAGCAAAAUUAAACUAUUAAGACUAGGGGCACCUGGGUGGCUCAGUCAGUUAAGCCUGUGACUCUUGGUUUCGGCUCAGUUCACGAUCUCUCUAUUUCAUGAGUUUGAGCCCCACGUCAGGCUCUGCGCUGUCAGCACAGAACUUGCUUGAGAUACUCUUUCCCUCCCUCUUCUCUGCCCCGCACUCAUGCAGUCUUUGUCUCUCUCAAAUAAAUAAACUUCAAAAAAUUAUGAAAAAAUAAAAAAUAAACUACUAGGACUAUACCAAAAUAAAAAGCUUUUCCAUAGUGAAGAAAACUACCAGCAAAACAAAGAGGCAACCUACUGAACAGGAGAAGAUAUUUGCAGAUAAUAUAUUCAAUAAGGAGUUACUAUUCAAAAUUAAUACAAAGAACUUACACAACUUAACACCAAAAAACAAAUAACCCACUUAAAAAUGGACAGAGGACCUGAACAGAUGUUUUUUCCAAAGAAGCUAUACAGAUGGCCAACAGACACAUGAAAAGAUGUUCAACAUCACUAAUCAUCAGGAAAUUGCAAAUUCAAACCACAGUGAUAUAUGACUUUACACCUCUCAGAAUGGCUGAAAUCAAAAACACAAGAAAUAGCCAAGUGUUGCUGAGGAUGUGGAGAAAAAGGAAUCCUCGUACACUGCUGAUAGAAAUGCAAAUUGGUUCAGCCACUGUGGAAAACUAUAUGGAGGUUCCUCAAGAAUUAAAAAUGGAAUUACUAUAUAAUCCAAUAAUUCCACUACUGUGUAUUUACCAAAACAAAAACUCUAAUUCCAAAAAGAUAUAUUUACCCCUAUAUUUAUUGCAACAUUAUUUACAGUAGCCAAAAUGUGGAAGGAACCCAAAUGUCCAUUGAUUAAUAGAUAAAGUAGACGUGGUAUAUGUAUACAAGGCACUAUUACUGAGCCAUAAAAAAAGCAUGAAAUCUUAACCAUUUGCAACAAUACAGAUGGACCUGGAGGGUAUAAUGCCAAGUGCAGUGAGUCAGUCAGAGAAAGACAAAUACCAUAUGAUUUUAUUCAUAUGUGCAGUUUGAGAAACAACACAAGUGAACAAAGAAAAAAGACAAACAAAAAACCCAACUCGUAAAUACAGAGAACACACUAGUGAUUGCCAGAAGGGAAGUGGGUCAUGGGGAUGGGUUUAAAAUUUUUUUUUUAAUAAACUCAACUCCCCGUAUAGGGCCGAAACUCACAACCCUGAGAUCAAGAGUUACAUGGUCUACUGAUUGAACCAUCCAGGCACCACGGGGGGGAAAAAAUU